CCGACGGUGAGAGAUGAAAGCUGGGGAGCAAACCGGAUUAGAUACCCGGGUAGUCCCAGCCGUAAACGAUGUGCGUUAGGUGUAUCGGUGACCACGAGUCACCGAGGUGCCGAAGAGAAAUCGUGAAACGUACCGCCUGGGAAGUACGGUCGCAAGGCUGAAACUUAAAGGAAUUGGCGGGGGAGCACCACAACAGGUGGAGCCUGCGGUUUAAUCGGACUCAACGCCGGGAAACUCACCAGAUAAGACAGCUGAAUGAUAGUCGGGCUGAAGACUCUACUUGACUAGCUGAGAGGAGGUGCAUGGCCGUCGUCAGUUCGUACUGUGAAGCAUCCUGUUAAGUCA
rnacentral:rRNA from 1 species